CAGGUAACAGAAAUGAAUCAGUCAUAACCAAGGCCAUGUGGCUAUGCAUUUUGACACAAAUACUAUACCAGGCUUCUGUUUUGUUGGUUUUUCUCUUUAAGGGAGAAGCCAUACUGGGCAUUAACAGAAGGGUUAUUAAAGCCAUGAACGGAAGGGUUAUUAAAGCCAUGAUUUUCAAUAGUUUCGCCCUGUGCCAAGUCUUCAACUAUGUCAAUGCCAUGGACCUAGAGAAGAAAUGGUCUGGUCAGGUUAAGCAAAAGGGCUGCUUACUGGUUGCGGAGGGGGCAGCGG
rnacentral:lncRNA from 1 species